rnacentral:rRNA from 1 species
AGUGAACGCUGGCGGUAGGCCUAACACAUGCAAGUCGAACGGCAGCACAGUAAGAGCUUGCUCUUACGGGUGGCGAGUGGCGGACGGGUGAGGAAUACAUCGGAAUCUACUUUUUCGUGGGGGAUAACGUAGGGAAACUUACGCUAAUACCGCAUACGACCUACGGGUGAAAGCAGGGGAUCUUCGGACCUUGCGCGAUUGAAUGAGCCGAUGUCGGAUUAGCUAGUUGGCGGGGUAAAGGCCCACCAAGGCGACGAUCCGUAGCUGGCCUGAGAGGAUGAUCAGCCACACUGGAACUGAGACACAGUCCAGACUCCUACGGGAGGCAGCAGUGGGGAAUAUUGGACAAUGGGCGCAAGCCUGAUCCAGCCAUACCGCGUGGGUGAAGAAGGCCUUCGGGUUGUAAAGCCCUUUUGUUGGGAAAGAAAAGCAGCAGGUUAAUACCCCGCUGUCCUGACGGUACCCAAAGAAUAAGCACCGGCUAACUUCGUG